AACAUAAAUGUUCUUUGUCUUUGCACAUAUGGAUCAAACUUUCUACAGUCUCGUUUUCACGUUCCAAGUCCACAUGUCACUGCAAGCAACCCACUGACAUAAUGUGGAAUGUCUGCUUCUCUGUGUGGACAGAUGGAGGGCCCCAUCCAGACAACUGUGCAAACACUGAGCGUAUUCAAAGCGCUAGUGUUACAUCUAAGCAGAGAAAAAGUUCUGGAACCUAGAAGCUCGCUGACAUCAUGA
rnacentral:lncRNA from 1 species